rnacentral:misc_RNA from 1 species
AACGCACGAGACCUGCGGACCUGCGGAAGGAUCAUUAGUGAACGCCCUCACGGGCUUAUAACUAUUCCAAACCUCUGUGAACCGUGCCCUUCGGGGCUAUUUUACAAACAUGGUGUAAUGAGCGUCAUAUAUCAUAACAAAACAAAACUUUUAGCAACGGAUCUCU